rnacentral:pre_miRNA from 3 species
UCUUGGGAAUGAGCAAAGAAAGUGGUUUCUUGAGAUGGAAUUCAGUCCCAGUGAAGAUACUGUGAA